AGAGUUUGAUCCUGGCUCAGGACGAACGCUGGCGGCGUGCUUAACACAUGCAAGUCGAACGGAAAGGCCUGCCACUGUGGUGGUGGGUACUCGAGUGGCGAACGGGUGAGUAACACGUGGGUGAUCUGCCCCGCACUGUGGGAUAAGCCUGGGAAACUGGGUCUAAUACCACAUACGACCAUGGCGUAGGGGUCAUGGUGGAAAGCUUUUGCGGUGUGGGAUGAGCCCGCGGCCUAUCAGCUUGUUGGUGGGGUAAUGGCCUACCAAGGCGGCGACGGGUAGCCGGCCUGAGAGGGUGGACGGCCACAUUGGGACUGAGACACGGCCCAGACUCCUACGGGAGGCAGCAGUGGGGAAUAUUGCACAAUGGGCGCAAGCCUGAUGCAGCGACGCCGCGUGGGGGAUGAAGGCCUUCGGGUUGUAAACUCCUUUCGCCCGGGACGAAGCCCACCUGGUGGGUGACGGUACCGUGGAGAAGAAGCACCGGCUAACUACGUGCCAGCAGCCGCGGUAAUACGUAGGGUGCAAGCGUUGUCCGGAUUUACUGGGCGUAAAGAGCUCGUAGGUGGUGUGUCGCGUCGUCUGUGAAAUUCCGGGGCUUAACUCCGGGCGUGCAGGCGAUACGGGCACGACUAGAGUGCUGUAGGGGUAACUGGAAUUCCUGGUGUAGCGGUGAAAUGCGCAGAUAUCAGGAGGAACACCGAUGGCGAAGGCAGGUUACUGGGCAGUUACUGACGCUGAGGAGCGAAAGCAUGGGGAGCGAACAGGAUUAGAUACCCUGGUAGUCCAUGCUGUAAACGGUGGGCGCUAGGUGUGGGCUGUGUGUUUGCAGUCUGUGCCGUAGCUAACGCAUUAAGCGCCCCGCCUGGGGAGUACGGCCGCAAGGCUAAAACUCAAAGGAAUUGACGGGGGC
rnacentral:rRNA from 1 species